GGACACCUACGGGACGCAGCAGUGGGGGAUAUUGCACAAUGGGGGGAACCCUGAUGCAGCGACGCCGCGUGGGUGAAGAAGCGCCUCGGCGCGUAAAGCCCUGUCAGCAGGGAAGAAAAUGACGGUACCUGAAGAAGGAGCAUCGGCUAACUCCGUGCCAGCAGCCGCGGUAAUACGGAGGAUGCGAGCGUUAUCCGGAUUUAUUGGGUUUAAAGGGUGCGUAGGCGGAUUUUUAAGUCAGCGGUAAAAUGUCCGGGCUCAACCCGGGCCGGCCGUUGAAACUGGGGAUCUUGAGUGGGCGAGAA
rnacentral:rRNA from 1 species